AUAAUACUCCCUCCAUCCGGAAUUACUUGUCAUCAAAAUGGAUGUGUCUAGAACUAAAAUACAUCUAGAUACAUCCAUUUCAAUGACAAGUAUUUUUGGACGGAGGGAGUAGUAA
rnacentral:pre_miRNA from 1 species